rnacentral:rRNA from 1 species
UCCUACGGGAGGCAGCAGUGGGGAAUUUUGCGCAAUGGGGGAAAGCCUGACGCAGCGACGCCGCGUGAGGGAAGAAGGCCUUCGGGUCGUAAACCUCUGUCGGGGGGGAAGAAACUCUUGGUGGUUAAUAUCCAUCAGGAUUGACGGUACCCCCAAAGGAAGCAUCGGCUAACUACGUGCCAGCAGCCGCGGUA